AAUACAGCAGUGUUGAUGGUUGGGUUGAGACACAUUCAGGAGCAAGACAUGAGGAGUUGGUGACACAGAUAUUAUGGAAGGAUAACUGACAGUCUUAAGUUAAUAAUUAUCAAAUAUAUGGCAAUGCUAGACUUUAGUUGAUCAUCGUGCUUCUGGAAAAUAACAAAAGUUGAGAUAUCUGUUCACCAUUUUGUGUGUCCAAGGACCACCU
rnacentral:lncRNA from 1 species